rnacentral:lncRNA from 1 species
CAAUAGCAUGCUUCAAGUUGUUGACUUUCUCCUGAAAGUAGGCCUCCUUUGGACUGGCAGAAAAUAUGGAAAAAUGGCCAGCAAAUAAGGUCGGCACUCCUGAUGUGGAUUCUGGCUGGCACUGGAGGUUGCUUGCGGCAAUUAGCACACGUGGCUUUAUGUCUUCAUUAAGGUCUAUCCCGAAUUUCACCACUAAUAAAUUAAGGCACUCGUCUGACAGGUAGACCAAAGGAGCAAGACCUAGGAUGAAAAUGCCAGUCAUUGUUAUCUUUAGAACUGCGAGGAUAACGAUAUACACAGAAUUCCUAGAAUGAACCAUUACUUAAGGUGUUUGAACUUCAGUGCCAAACAUUUCGAGGCCACAGGGCAGCAUAUACACUGAUAAUUGUCCAGGAGAGUGGACAUUUGAUGCAUCCUUCUGAAGAAAACACUGGCAUUGCCUAGCAAAGCUAUGGCCAUCCUACCUUCCACUCGGGGUUCUUACUUCUAGCACUCUGCUCUGAAGACUGAUGACCAUUAAAUAAUAGUAAAAUACAUGUGAGCAAGGGCCAUGGUAGUGGCUGCACCUAGGUCACUCUCCAUAGUCUGAAACUAUGGAAUGCUGGAAGCAACUCAUCUGCUCUCACUCACAGGGGAGUAACUGUGUUCCACCCACACAAUGGUUUCCUGGGCAACUGUGAAAAGAAGGAAGAAAACCCCAAGGCAGUGCUAACUAGGAAAAGCUCUCCAGAAAGACAUAGCAGGAAGGAGACAGGGAGAACGCAUACACGUUUCUACAGUUCUGAGCCAAGAGUGAGGAAGGCUGAACAGGAAACUGGACAGGACAGACUCGUGCAUGAAAUGGCAAAGUGAGAUGUGCACAGUGUGUGCAGAAAGCAAAAUUAAAGACAAAGUUGCCUGUGACCAUAAUGGAUAAAGAUAGGAAAUACAACAAAAAAAGCAAAUAGAAGCAGAAAUAAAUGUACUGUCAUACAAGUGACAUUCCUGAGGCAAGGUGCCUGACAGGGAAUGAGGACAAAAAGCAGAGUGUGAAGCUUGAAGAGCUUUCAGGCCCAGGGCUGCACAGAAGCUGGUGUCAGGAGCAGUGAACACUUCUGCUAGGACACUGCUCUUCCAGAGGACCCACGCAUGGUUCCUGGCCAUCUCAAAACAACGCAAAAGACUGAGACAACAGAAAGGACAGGAGGAUAAGUCUGAUGAUGGACGCCAGAUACUCAACAGAGCUGUUCAGAGAAAGGGACAUGACAGAAUCAAGGACUUGCCACAGAAAUCCUCCUGAAAGAUGCAGUAUUUCAACAUGGGCUUGCUCUAAUGGCCAGCAGGAGAGAGCUUCCCAGUGGGCUGGGGACUGAGGCUCGUCACCUGGCUCUUCCUCACCUCAAGGUGAUCUGGGUCUGAUGCAUACUGCACUGCUGCAUAGAGCUCUGCUCCAUCCUGCAGAGCAUGGACUUGCUGCCGUGUGAGUGUGCGGGACAGCACACACCGCUGUGUUGUGUCUUCUGCGGGAGGAAGGGAAGAAAGCAACAGUGAUCGGCUAGAACCAAAACUUGGGAGUGAAAACCAUAGAGUCAAGCAAAAGCACCAAAAGGAGGGAGGUUAGACAAAAAAGAGCCACAAAGAGCAGCAGGACAGCUCAGCUGAUAGUGGCACUAGUCACCAAGCCUAACAGCGGGGUCUGAUCCCUGGGACCCACAAGGUAGGACAGAAAAGCUUUAUAAGCUGUCCUUGACCUUCUGUACAUGUGCUGUGACAGGAAAGAAAACAUUAAAAACAAACAAGCAGCUGUCUACUAAUAGCUUCAUUUAAGAAGAAGAAGAGGAAGAGGAGGAAGAAAAGCAGCAGCAUCAGAAGACGACAAUGGUGACAACGACUGUUGCAGUCACAGUUAAAG